rnacentral:rRNA from 1 species
AUGUUGGAUGAGCUAAGUGUGCCUGAAGAACCCAGAUUUAAAGGCAUGUACAAUGUCAUUCAUAUUGAUGAGAAGUGGUUCUACCGCACUAAAGGUACUCAGAACUACUACUUGGCACCUGAUGAAGAAGAACCCUAUCGCAGCACACAGAGCAAGGGAUUUAUCAAGAAAGUGAUGUUCUUGGCAGCAGUAGCAAGGCCUCGUUAUGAUGAUCAUGGUGUCAUGACAUUUGAUGGCAAGAUUGGAAUUUGGCCAUUCACAUAUCAGGACUUUGCAAAGAGGCGUAGCCCUUACCGAGAUAGGGGGGAAGAGGUAACCAAGGUUUUGCCGUUGGUGACGAAGGAUGUUAGUAGAGAUUAUAUGGUGAACAAGCUUCUACCUGCCAUCAAGGCUUUGUGGCCGGCUUCGGAACGCGGACGCAUAAUAUACAUUCAGCAAGAUAAUGCAAAGACCCAUAUUGCUGUGAAUGACAGUGUGUUUUGUGCAGCGGCACAGGCGGAUGGAUGGGAUAUUAGGCUUACAUGUCAGCCACCGAACUCACCUGAUUUGAACAUUCUUGACUUAGGGUUCUUUGCGGCACUUCAGGCUCUUUUUGAGAAGAUGUCCCCUGGUAAAAUUGCUGAUAUUGUUGCA